GCGGGUAUGGUUUAGUGGCAGAAUGUCUGCUUCCCAAGCAGAAGACCCGGGUUCGAUUCCCGGUAUCCGCACAA
rnacentral:tRNA from 1 species